AAUGUGUGUGUGUGUGUGUCUGUCACCUCGCUAUACAACACUGGCCCAGGAGAAGCCAAUCUACCUGCUGCAGAUAUCAAUUUAGUCUCCAAAGGUAACGUCAAGAGAACAUGGCAGCUGUGGAGUUGAGCUGCGUGUUCAGUGUCCGUGUGAUGCUGGUUCUGGUUGCUGGGAGCCUGCUUUUGCAAAGAGCAGCAUGUGCACCUGCUUUGUCAGAAGAUUGUCUUGAAGUAGAGGGGUGUUCUGAAGAUGUACAAUCAGCCUCAGAGAGCUUUUCUCAGCAAAAUACAGAAGGGUCCACCAACCCAUUCACCAUUCUAGAAGAUGAGCCAGACCUGCUCCCACUAAACUACAGGAAAUGACCUCGACUGGAGGUGCGGAGAGGCCUUGGCUUUGCUUAAUGUAAUGCAUUGUUUGAAUGAGACUGCCUUGGUAUUCUGAUGAAUUGUGUCUGUAUACCAGGAUAAAUAAAGUUUAUUGAUGCAUCAUUACUUUCACAUGGUUAUGGGCAGUAUCUUGUCAUGGCAGUCACAUUGACACUAAAAGCUGUAACUCACCUGAGUAAUUGACUUGCCCUUUAUCCUGGGUUUAAAAGGCAUGUCGUAUCCAGACAGGCUAAAAGAAUUGAAUCUAUUCAGUCUUGAACAAAGAAGACUACGCGGCAAUCUGAUUCAAACAUUCAAAAUCCUAAAAGGUAUAGACAAUAUCGACCCAGGGGACUUCUUUGACCUGAAAAAAGAAACAAGGACCAGGGGUCAGAAAUGGAGAUUAGAUAAAGGGGCAUUCAGAACAGAAAAUAGGAGGCACUUUUUCACACAGAGAAAUGUGAGGGUCUGGAACCAACUCCCCAGUAAUGUUGUUGAAGCUGACACCCUGGGAUCCUUCAAGAAGCUGCUUGAUGAGAUUCUGGGAUCAUUAAGCUACUAACAACCAAACGAGCAAGAUGGGCUGAAUGGCCUCCUCUUGUUUGUAAACUUUCUUAUGUUCUUAUGUUCUUAAGAGCACUAUGAUCUCUGCUUUAGAAACAGAGGCUUGGAGCACAAUGUAUUAUUACUUGUACAGUAAAUUAUGAAAAUUAUCCAAAUUGUUUCUCUUUAAAUGCCUGUGUUGGUCUCAAUUGUAGAGAUGGAUCUAUUUUUUGUUUUGCUACUAGGGAAGUGCAGAGACCCCAUUACUCUUGUAAUCAUAUUCAGAAACCAAUCAUUUACUCGGGUGAAAGUGCAUGGGGCCAGCCCUGAAACUACUAAAAAAAUCUGUGUCUGACCCUGAUUUUCACUCAGAACGUGACCAUAUGCUUCUGUUUCCCCAUUCCAGAUGAUCCACUAACUUAUGCAUUUUUUUUAGUACCAUACAAAGUUGUUACUAACAUUUUAGUAUAUUCCUACAUGGAUCCUGGUUUCUAGACUAAUGAAAUGAACAAAAACACAGACUCCAAAUUCUGCUCUGCUAUUAUGUGAAUUCCAAUUGAAAGUUUUCAAACAGGGAAACAUAAAUAUAAGCAUUUAAAACUAUGUUUUGUCUACAGUAUUUGUACCAAACUAUUGUUUCUGAAAAAUGUUUCUCAUGUGAUGUUGUGAUCCGAGUGCUGCUCUGUUUUACCCACUUCAUUCAAAUGAAAACCAUCACUGCUCCGGAUUAGACAUUUUGGAAGGCACAGUAUACUUGAUUAGCUCUCAGGGUUAAAGUUUUUAAAACUCAAGAUUCAGUUUGGUAACAUACAUUUUUUUAAAUCGGCAGGUAUAGAACAGAAUAUACAUUAAAGAUAUUUUGAAAACAAGAUCAAAUC